GAGUGUUCAAAGCAGGCCCUUGCUCGAAUACGUUAGCAUGGAAUAAUAAAAUAGGGCGUGCGUUUCUAUUUUGUUGGUUUCUAGAGACGCCGCAAUGAUUAACAGGAACAGUCGGGGGCAUCAGUAUUCAGUUGUCAGAGGUGAAAUUCUUGGAUUUACUGAAGACUAACUACUGCGAAAGCAUUUGCCAAGGAUGUUUUCAUUAAUCAGUGAACGAAAGUUAGGGGAUCGAAGACGAUCAGAUACCGUCGUAGUCUUAACCGUAAACUAUGCCGACUAGGGAUCGGGCGAUGUUCUUUUUCUGACUCGCUCGGCACCUUACGAGAAAUCAAAGUUUUUGGGUUCUGGGGGGAUUAUGGUCGCAAGGCUGAAACUUAAAGAAAUUGACGGAAGGCCACCACCAGGCGUGGAGCCUGCGGCUUAAUUUGACUCAACACGGGGAAACUCACCAGGUCCAGAUGAAAUAAGGAUUGACAGAUUGAGAGCUCUUUCUUGAUUUUUCAGGUGGUGGUGCAUGGCCGUUCUUAGUUCGUGGGGUGACUUGUCUGCUUAAUUGCGAUAACGAGCGAGACCUUACUCUGCUAAAUAGCCAGGCUAGCUUUGGCUGGUCGCCGGCCUCUUAGAGAGACUAUCAACUCAAGUUGAUGGAAGUUUGAGGCAAUAACAGGUCUGUGAUGCCCUUAGAUGUUCUGGGCCGCACGCGCGCUACACUGACAGAGCCAACGAGUUCUUCACCUUGGCCGAAAGGUCUGGGUAAUCUUGUUAAACUCUGUCGUGCUGGGGAUAAAGCAUUGCAAUUAUUGCUUUUCAACGAGGAAUGCCUAGUAAGCGCGUGUCAUCAGCAUGCGUUGAUUACGUCCCUGACCUUUGUACACACCGCCCGUAAGGGCG
rnacentral:rRNA from 1 species